CCUACGGGAGGCAGCAGUGGGGAAUAUUGCGCAAUGGGCGAAAGCCUGACGCAGCAACGCCGCGUGGGGGAUGAAGGCCUUCGGGUUGUAAACCUCUUUCAGCAGGGAAGAAGCGAAAGUGACGGUACCUGCAGAAGAAGCACCGGCUAACUACGUGCCAGCAGCCGCGGUAAUACGUAGGGUGCAAGCGUUGUCCGGAUUUAUUGGGCGUAAAGAGCUCGUAGGCGGUUAGUCACGUCGGAUGUGAAAUCCCGGAGCUUAACUCCGGGCCUGCAUUCGAUACGGGCUGACCCGAGUGUUGUAGGGGAGACUGGAACUCCUGGUGUAGCGGUGAAAUGCGCAGAUAUCAGGAAGAACACCGGUGGCGAAGGCGGGUCUCUGGGCAACUACUGACGCUGAGGAGCGAAAGCGUGGGGAGCAAACAGGAUUAGAUACCCUGGUAGUCCACGCCGUAAACGGUGGGCGCUAGGUGUGGGGAACAUUCCACGUUCUCUGCGCCGCNGCUACGCAUAGCGCCCGCCGUCGGGAGGUACGGCCGCCGACGGACGUAAACGUACGAAACGUAGUAAGUUAGUACGGCGUUGAGAGUUGCCGACGGACGACGACGAGGGAGAGG
rnacentral:rRNA from 1 species